rnacentral:rRNA from 1 species
GACGAACGCUGGCGGCGUGCUUAACACAUGCAAGUCGAGCGGAGCGGCGAACGGGUGAGUAACGCGUGAGUAACUGCCCCCCUCUCUUGGAUAACAGUUGGAAACGGCUGCUAAUACCGGAUAGUGGGGGAUGACUCGCGUCCUAUCUGCUUGUUGGUGGGGUAUUGGCCUACCAAGGCGACGCCGGGUUGCCGGCCUGUGAGGUCGACCGGCCAAAUUGUGCUGGGGUACGGCCCAAACUCCUACGGGAGGCAGCAGUGGGGAAUAUGGCACAAUUGGGGAAACCCUGAGGCAGCAACGCCGCGGGCGGGAUGACGGCCUUCGGGUUGUAAACCGCUUUCAGCCAUGACGCGGUAGUGGCAGAAGAAGCACCGGCUAACUACGUGCCAGCCGCCGCGGUAAUUC